CUUAUUUUACUGUUAUAUUUUAUGUUUACUUUCUGUAAGAACAUAAUAAAAUGAUUCAGCUUUUAAAAAAUUAUGUUUU